GUCAUAGAAAAUAGGGAGGUGAGGUCUAGGAUCAAUGAAAUGUAAUAGCAUACACGAAAGUGAAGAUGUUGAUCUUGGUAGACAAAUGGAGGGGGAUAUCCAGAGAUCACUUCAUCUUUAGACAGUGGAAAGUGUACCACUGGAGAGUUACUACUUGGUUUGUCAGUCACAGGCAGUCACUAAAAGCUUGAACUUUAGGUUCAGAAACACCUAACAGUCACAAAGCUAUGAACAUUGUUUUUCAAGGAUGCUUGAAAUGAAUGAUCAAAAUGCUCAGUAGGACUCUUCGGCUGAUCUCUGGAAGAAGCACAUCCUUACAUAGACCCCAACUAUCCUACAGUGACCACUUCUGUCACUACUGUAGUUGGAAAGCCUUGACUGUGAUUUUAAGUGCUGACCCAGCAAUGAAAUAAUAAAAAAACCCCAACAACUCUAACUAUGAGACAUGCGUGUCACUAGGAAAUUAAAUAUUGAUGGCCCAAUUCUAUGUUUGGUGCCUCAAAAAUCUGAGAAGUCUUACAGUUAGGGCAUGAAAAUCUGAGAGUAUGAUUAAAAACUGUAACCAGUUAGAGAAUAGCCAUGUUUAUGGUUAAAGAUAACAGAGAAUCAGGGUCUCUGAUUUCUAAAGAGAGAAAAAAUUGGAAUAGUCAAUACCUGAUACUAAUGAAAUAAUCCUGGGAUGAAAAGAACCCAGUCAGGAUCUUUGGUUGUGAGACAGGAAUCAACCAACACCUUUAAGAGGCAUGAAAGGAUUCCUACCCAGCUGAUUUGCAAAAGCUUGCAGGAAAAAAACAAGUUCUUCCCUUCUCUUGCCUUAGACCUAGCAAAUCUUCUGUAAGUGGAUAUUUUCUAUUGAGGUCUGCAAUAUGAAUUCCACAUUUUGCACUUUGUUUGUUUGUUUGUUUGUUUGUUUUUUGGGGGGGUGUUGUUUGAGGUUUUUUUGGUAUAUUCUGACUUUCUUCAUUGUAAUUAUCUAAAGAGCUAGGAACACCAUAGCUUGUUUUACUUUCAGUGGAAUAUAUGGCCAUGUGAGAGUCUAAACCACAAAAAUUUAAUGAAGGGCAAGGAGGGAUAUUUCUUCUUCCUAGCAAAUCAGCAAGAACCUGCUCUCUGUGAGACUUUAAUCUUCCACAACUUUGAGCUUCUUCAGACCUCCUGUAGACAAUGGAAGCAAUCAAGAAAUGAAAGCAUAAGGGGAAGAUGACUCCAGAACCCAGGGAAGACAGUAAUCACUAGAAAAAUCUCAGGAAAGGAAAUAAGAACAGCAAAAAUCCUCACCUCUAGAGUAUGAAUUUUGUUUAGAAACUGUCUAACAGAGGGAUAAAGAUCAGGUCUGUGUUGGAAUAUCAUACACUGGGAAAAGAUCGAGAAAAGACAGUAAGAGAUGAGGGAACCUCUUUGAGACCAAUAAGGGGUUUUCACCAUUUUUUUUGUCUGAGACCUCUCUAAUCCUUUAACCUUCAGCAUCAGCAUCAAUGCUUGAGGCUGAGCUCUCCAGAAUUGUAUGUGUUCUCACUGCUUCAAGCAACUUAAACCAUAAAAGACUAGAGACAUGGACCCCUUAAGAGUAGCAUGGGGGCAGAGCAAGAACACUGGAAGCAAUGGGAGAAAAGAAGCAGUAUCUAAAUAGGAGAGAAAAAGAAAGAAGCAAAAACCCUGAGAAGCACCUGGAAGCUUUCACAGCCUCCAACCUGAAGGAGGGCAUAAUGCCACAUGUCUAUUAACAACACCAACAAACCAGUCCCUCAGCGCUGCCACAGCAGUGUCUGUACUUACAGAUGCAAUGCAGUGACAGUACACAGCACAGCCAUGUUUAGUCUGUCUGGGACCCAGAGAACUUGAGAGAAAAAUGAAAUAUUUGAAAAAACUCUACAUUUAUAUUCAUUACAAGCAAAUUCUCUUAUCUUCUGCACUAUGAAUAAGGCUGUAGACAGGUUCUUAAAGGUGAAAAAGGCAACUUGUAGCACAAUCUCCAAACUGUCAGAUUCAUUGCUGAUAAAAUAUUAUUUUUGCCACUUCAAACUUUAUUCCUAAAUGGCUAUAUUAAAAAUAAAAUAAUUACAAAAUAUAAUAUUGCAAGUCAGAAACUAUUUUUCCACAGUUUCCUAUCCAAAAUAGACUUAAAUUAACAGAGAAGUUAUUACUAGUACUCAAAGACCACAUAAUGCUUUUUAGAAUAUUAGGUUACACAUAGCCUUAACUCAGGAAAGCACUUAAAAAGGGAAAAAAGAAAGUCUUCCUGACUCAGGGCCUCUAAAGCAGAGGUAUAACAUAUCAUAUAUCUACUAUUUGGGCAUACAGUAAAGAUUUGACUGGUUUGUUUCACAAAUUCUUGAACUCCACAGAAAGUCUUAUUCCAGCAUAUAUUAAAAAUAAGCCAGUUCAAAUGAAAGUGCAAUUCUUCUUUAAAAGUCAAGUUGUCUCUACUUUCAUAUAUCAUUCUUGUAGCAAAACAGUCACAAGUUGAAACAGAAACAUGAUGACAAUACUCCAUACUUUUUGGUAAUUCAGUAAGUUCACAGAAAAUACUAGCACUCACCAAAAAUAAUAUUCUGGUUCAUAUAGCGAUUAAAAUGCUCUAUCGAUUCUGAAAUGCUUCUGACAUUUCUCAUUAUGAAAUACACAGGCAGAGCAGCAGCUCUGCAAUUUAAAAUACCCUCAUUCAUUUCUAAAAGCUAAGAAUUCAAUGCUAAUACCACUGAUGUUUUAACAUCAAUAUUAUUUGCUAGUACAUGUAACUCAUGAAUAAAGCAUUAUAAAACAGACAACUCAAGUGCUUUCUGGAUUUGGUUAGUUAACCAAAAAUUCUGAGAUUCAAAUGUUGUUCUAGGUCAUGGCCCUUCUCAGGACUGUAUUUUUUCCCCUCAGGAUUUCUUUAAAACUGCAUCCAAUCAAAUUAUAAAAAAACCAUGCAAUGAAGCAUCUGACACUUCCCCUGGGAGACCUUUCCAUUGCAAACAAGUUGUUUUUCCUCAAGUUGAAUUUUAAUGUAAUUUCAUCCCAUUGCCCAUUCUCAUGGAAGCAAGGCGAGAGUCCCCAGGGAAGGCAACAAGGAAAAAAACCCCAAACAAUUGUUAAACUACACUGCAAAAGCAUAUAAAAGCAAUUUAGCUAUGAAGUGUGUUGAUGAAAGGGGAACCGAGGAUUAACUGAAGUCACAGAAGCAGCCUCCCAGCUUUCUAUUUUCCAUCAGCAUGGAAGAGUCACAGAUGUAUGUGGAUGGCUUCUAAGAAAAAAUCAGUAUGAAAAAAAGCUUAUCAUUCCAUAAAUACACCUUUGGGAAAAGAACUGAAGUUGCCUUAGAAUUGUUUAACUUCUGCUUCCCAGAGUAGGAAAAAGAGCUCUUUGAAAGUUAUUAUUACAGUCUUGAAAAGGUAUCAGCCAUGAUAUCUUCCCACUUCUUCUCAUAAACAAAUGAAACUACCAUACUACACGGCACCACCGUUGUUUAACAGAAACAUUGUACCAUCUACUACCCUGUCCCUGAAAACAUCCAAAGAAAGAUGUUGCCAAGGGAGUUAUCAUAAAAUAUCUGAUUUAGUCUAUAAGGAUUUUUAUUCCCUCACAAUUUAAUAAAUAGUAUCUUGCUGUUUAACAUAUCCUACAGUUAAAGAAUAUAUUUACUUUUUUUUUUAUUAUUAUUCCUUCACCUUCUCCACUGCUAGCAGGAAUUGGUGAAAAAACAGUUUAGAGAAUUAGUGCAGGAUGUGUAUGCAGACAGCUAUUUUGAAAACAUUAUAAAUACAAAACAUUAUAAACAAAAAACUCCUGGAAGAUAUCAUACAAAACAAGACAAGAGUCAUCACUAGGGUCAGCCACAGAAGCAAACAUUUGUCAUCUAAAUCAGAUAAAUGUUUUGUAAUGUAAAAAUCCAAAUCAGUAUUUAACGAAAAAUAAUAGAUACCCUCCAGGAAAUAUCUAGUCCCCACUGCUGUCAACAUAGAGACUCCUAAGAAACAUCAGAGGGAAGUGGAUAUGAACUUAAUCUCUGUCCUUCAGAAUCUCAGAAUAAAAAAAAAAAAAAAAGGGCAUGGCGAUAGCCAGCAACA